rnacentral:rRNA from 1 species
GACGAACGCUGGCGGCGUGCUUAACACAUGCAAGUCAAACGGAAAGGCCCUGCUUUUGUGGGGUGCUCGAGUGGCGAACGGGUGAGUAACACGUGAGUAACCUGCCCUUGACUUUGGGAUAACUUCAGGAAACUGGGGCUAAUACCGGAUAGGAGCUCCUGCUGCAUGGUGGGGGUUGGAAAGUUUCGGCGGUUGGGGAUGGACUCGCGGCUUAUCAGCUUGUUGGUGGGGUAGUGGCUUACCAAGGCUUUGACGGGUAGCCGGCCUGAGAGGGUGACCGGCCACAUUGGGACUGAGAUACGGCCCAGACUCCUACGGGAGGCAGCAGUGGGGAAUAUUGCACAAUGGGCGGAAGCCUGAUGCAGCAACGCCGCGUGCGGGAUGACGGCCUUCGGGUUGUAAACCGCUUUCGCCUGUGACGAAGCGUGAGUGACGGUAGUGGGUAAAGAAGCACCGGCUAACUACGUG